rnacentral:rRNA from 1 species
ACCCGACUGCUAUCAGAGUGGGACUAAGCCAUGCGAGUCGACAUAGCAAUAUGUGGCAUACGGCUCAGUAACACGUAGUCAACAUGCCCAGGGGACGUGGAUAACCUCGGGAAACUGAGGAUAAACCGCGAUAGGUCAUCACUUCUGGAAUGGGUAAUGACUUAAACCUAUAUGGCCCCUGGAUUGGACUGCGGCCGAUCAGGCUGUUGGUGAGGUAAUGGCCCACCAAACCUGUAACCGGUACGGGCUCUGAGAGGAGGAGCCCGGAGAUGGGCACUGAGACAAGGGCCCAGGCCCUAUGGGGCGCAGCAGGCGCGAAACCUCUGCAAUAGGCGAAAGCUUGACAGGGUUACUCUGAGUGAUUUCCGUUAAGGAGAUCUUUUGGCACCUCUAAAAAUGGUGCAGAAUAAGGGGUGGGCAAGUCUGGUGUCAGCCGCCGCGGUAAUACCAGCACCCCGAGUGGUCGGGACGUUUAUUGGGCCUAAAGCAUCCGUAGCCGGUUCUACAAGUCUUCCGUUAAAUCCACCUGCUUAACAGAUGGGCUGCGGAAGAUACUAUAGAGCUAGGAGGCGGGAGAGGCAAGCGGUACUCGAUGGGUAGGGGUAAAAUCCGUUGAUCCAUUGAAGACCACCAGUGGCGAAGGCGGCUUGCCAGAACGCGCUCGACGGUGAGGGAUGAAAGCUGGGGGAGCAAACCGGAUUAGAUACCCGGGUAGUCCCAGCUGUAAACGAUGCAGACUCGGUGAUGAAUUGGCUUAUCGCUAAUUCAGUGCCGCAGGGAAGCCGUUAAGUUUGCCGCCUGGGGAGUACGGUCGCAAGACUGAAACUUAAAGGAAUUGGCGGGGGAGCACCACAAGGGGUGAAGCCUGCGGUUCAAUUGGAGUCAACGCCGGAAAUCUUACCGGGGGCGACAGCAGAGUGAAGGUCAAGCUGAAGACUUUACCAGACAAGCUGAGAGGAGGUGCAUGGCCGUCGCCAGCUCGUGCCGUGAGGUGUCCUGUUAAGUCAGGUAACGAGCGAGAUCCCUGCCUCUAGUUGCUACCAUUAUUCUCAGGAGUAGUGGAGCUAAUUAGAGGGACCGCCGUCGCUGAGACGGAGGAAGGUGGGGGCUACGGCAGGUCAGUAUGCCCCGAAACCCUCGGGCCACACGCGGGCUGCAAUGGUAAGGACAAUGAGUUUCGAUUCCGAAAGGAGGAGGCAAUCUCUAAACCUUACCACAGUUAUGAUUGAGGGCCGAAACUCGCCCUCAUGAAUAUGGAAUCCCUAGUAACCGCGUGUCACUAUCGCGCGGUGAAUACGUCCCUGCUCC